ACGGGAGGCAGCAGUGGGGAAUAUUGGGCAAUGGAGGCAACUCUGACCCAGCAACGCCGCGUGAAGGAUGAAGGUUCUAGGAUUGUAAACUUCUGUCGCAGGGGACGAAGAAUGACGGUACCCUGUAAGAAAGCCCCGGCUAACUAUGUGCCAGCAGCCGCGGUAAUACAUAGGGGGCGAGCGUUGUCCGGAAUGACUGGGCGUAAAGGGAGUGUAGGCGGUUUUGCAAGUUAUGAGUGAAAGCCCGCGGCUCAACUGCGGAAUUGCUCAUAAAACUGCAUGACUGGAGUACAGGAGAGGUAAGCGGAAUUCCUAGUGUAGCGGUGGAAUGCGUAGAUAUUAGGAAGAACACCAGAGGCGAAGGCGGCUUACUGGACUGCAACUGACGCUGAGGCUCGAAAGCGUGGGGAGCAAACAAGAUUAGAUACCCUGGUA
rnacentral:rRNA from 1 species